rnacentral:pre_miRNA from 1 species
GUUGUUCACUCUCCCUCAAGGGCUUCUAUCAUAAUCUGAUUAUAUGUAUAUAUGAUCAGUAUAUAUGUAGUAGAAGCUCUUUUGGGAGAUCGAACAA